AUAGCUAUGUCAGAAUUGUAUGAGUUAGUUUUAAGCAUUAAUUAUGGAGGUCCCUCCUAGCUAUU
rnacentral:tRNA from 1 species